rnacentral:rRNA from 1 species
UGCUUAACACAUGCAAGUCGAACGAGAACGGAUUAUAGCUUGCUAUAAUUGUCAGCUAAGUGGCGCACGGGUGAGUAAUAUAUAGAUAACCUGCCCUCAAGAAAGGAAUAACAGUUGGAAACGACUGCUAAUGCCCUAUAUGCCUUUAAUACAUAAGUAUGCAAGGGAAACGCUUUAGUGCUUGAGGAUGGGUCUGUAUGGUAUCAGUUAGUUGGUGAGGUAAUGGCUCACCAAGACUAUGACGCCUAACUGGUUUGAGAGGAUGAUCAGUCACACUGGAACUGAGACACGGUCCAGACUCCUACGGGAGGCAGCAGUGGGGAAUAUUGCACAAUGGACGAAAGUCUGAUGCAGCAACGCCGCGUGGAGGUUACACAUUUCGGUGCGUAAACUCC